rnacentral:rRNA from 1 species
UCCGUAGGUGACCCUGCGGAGGGAUCAUUACCGAGUUUACAACUCCCAAACCCCUGUGAACAUACCACUUGUUGCCUCGGCGGAUCAGCCCGCUCCCGGUAAAACGGGACGGCCCGCCAGAGGACCCCUAAACUCUGUUUCUAUAUGUAACUUCUGAGUAAAACCAUAAAUAAAUCAAAACUUUCAACAACGGAUCUCUUGGUUCUGGCAUCGAUGAAGAACGCAGCAAAAUGCGAUAAGUAAUGUGAAUUGCAGAAUUCAGUGAAUCAUCGAAUCUUUGAACGCACAUUGCGCCCGCCAGUAUUCUGGCGGGCAUGCCUGUUCGAGCGUCAUUUCAACCCUCAAGCACAGCUUGGUGUUGGGACUCGCGUUAAUUCGCGUUCCUCAAAUUGAUUGGCGGUCACGUCGAGCUUCCAUAGCGUAGUAGUAAAACCCUCGUUACUGGUAAUCGUCGCGGCCACGCCGUUAAACCCCAACUUCUGAAUGUUGACCUCGGAUCAGGGAGGAAUACCCGCUGAACUUAAGCAUAUCAAUAAGCGGAGGAA